UCAAGCGACCAAGGGCAUAAGGUGAAUGCCUUGGCACUGAGAGCCGAAGAAGGACGUGACAAGCUGCGAAAAGUCUCGGGGAGGAGCAAAUAUCCUUAGAUCCGGGAAUGUCCGAAUGGGGAAACCCACUUGAGCAAACCUCAAGUAUCUAGUUGUGAAUACAUAGCAACAAGAGGGAAAAGUUGGUGAACUGAAACAUCUAAGUAGCCAGACGAAAAGAAAGAAAAAAUUCGAUUUUCAAAGUAGCGGCGAGCGAAAUGGAAAGAGCCCAAAUUAAGUUAAGGAAGAGGUAAGAUAGUUGAAUGGUCUGGAAAGAUUCAACCGAAGAAAGUGAAAGUCUUGUAAACGAAAUCAAGCCGAAUCUGACUUUAAAAGAGUAGCAUGGGACACGAGAAAUCCUGUGUGAAAAUGGGGGGACCACCCCCUAAGGCUAAAUACUACUCAGUGACCGAUAGAGAAUAGUACCGUGAGGGAAAGGUGAAAAGAACCCCGGGAGGGGAGUGAAAUAGAACCUGAAACCUUAUGCCUACAAGCAGAUAGAGUCUUAAGAGAGAUGAUAUCGUACUUUUUGUAGAACGGGCCAGCGAGUUAUGGUGUGCGGCAAGGUUAAGUAAUGAAGUUACGGAGCCGUAGGGAAACCGAGUCUGAAUAGGGCGGAUGAGUCGUAUGCCAUAGACCCGAAACCAGGUGAUCUAUCCAUGAGCAGGUUGAAGUGAAAGUAAAAUUUCAUGGAGGACCGAACCGGGUAGCGUUUAAAAGCUAUCGGAUGACUUGUGGAUAGGGGUGAAAAGCCAAUCGAACUUGGAGAUAGCUGGUUCUCCUCGAAAUAGCUUUAGGGCUAGCCUCAAUUUAGUUUACAGGGGGUAGAGCACUGAAUACCGUAGGGGUGUUAGACAUUACCGAAAGUUAUCAAACUGCGAAUACCUGAUAAAUGAUGAUUGGGAGUCAGACUAUGUGGGAUAAGCUUCAUAGUCAAAAGGGAAAGAGCCCAGACCACCAGCUAAGGUCCCUAAAUAUAGAUUAAGUGGAAAAGGAUGUUUUACUACUCAGACAACCAGGAUGUUGGCUUAGAAGCAGCCAUACAUUUAAAGAGUGCGUAAUAGCUCACUGGUCAAGUGGUAGAGCGCCGAAAAUGAACGGGGCUAAAAUCUAAUACCGAAGCUGUGGACUAAUUAAAUUAGUGGUAGAGGAGCAUUGUGUAAGGGGUGAAGCUAAGUUGGAAGACGAAGUGGACUUUACAGAAGAGAGAAUGCUGGCAUGAGUAGCGAAAAGGAGGGUGAGAAUCCCUCCCGUCGAAAGCCUAAGGAUUCCUGAGGAAGGCUCGUCCUCUCAGGGUAAGUCGGGACCUAAGCCCAGGCUGAAAAGCGUAAGCGAUGGACAACAGGUUGAGAUUCCUGUACUAUCUUUGAAUGUUUAAGAGAUGUACUGACGCAGGAGGAUAUGUUGAGCGUGUGAAUGGUAGAGCACGUCUAAGCAAGUAGAUAGAGAAUAGAGGCAAAUCCCUAUUUUUAAUAUCGAGAUGUGAUGGGGAGCGAAAAACAAGUAGUGAAGCAACAAAUUCCAAACUGCCAAGAAAAGGUACUAUUGAGUGAGAAGAUACCCGUACCAAAACCGACACAGGUAGGCAAGGAGAGAAUCCUAAGACGCGCGGAAGAACCUUUGUUAAGGAACUCGGCAAAAUGACCCCGUAACUUCGGGAGAAGGGGUACCAUUAGAUGUGAGAUACUUGCGUAUGGAGCAUAGAGUGGUCGCAGAGAAUAGGCCCAAGCAACUGUUUACCAAAAACACAAGUCUCUGCUAAAUCGAAAGAUGAAGUAUAGGGGCUGACACCUGCCCGGUGCUGGAAGGUUAAGGGGAAAUGUUAGAGCAAUCGAAGCAUAGAACUUAAGCCCCAGUAAACGGCGGCCGUAACUAUAACGGUCCUAAGGUAGCGAAAUUCCUUGUCGGGUAAGUUCCGACCCGCACGAAAGGCGUAAUGAUUUGGGCACUGUCUCAACGAGAGACUCGGUGAAAUUUUAGUACCUGUGAAGAUGCAGGUUACCCGCGACAGGACGGAAAGACCCCAUGGAGC
rnacentral:rRNA from 1 species